CCCCGCCUCGAGAGUUAAGCAAACUACUUCCUGGAAAUGCCUGAGCUGACAGCAGGCUUCAAGGCUCCGCUCAACCUUUUAACAAACGCCGCGCAGCUGCCUCAUGCGGCUGUGUGCGACUCCAUCCGUCCCUACCCGCCUGGGCCAUCAGCGAUCUCUUCAGGGCUUCCUCCCCUGACUCCAAGGGUACUGUGAAUUCCAGUUCAAGUUACAUCCAAUUAUUGUCAGAACUGAUGCUCGCAGCUGAAUCCUUCAAAAUAAUGCUCGUGUGUUUUCCAUCUUCACGUUGUUGCCUCAGUAACUCAGGCACCGAGCACCGAGCACACACGGCGGCACCCGGUGAAACAUCCCACCUGUAGCAGCACUCAGUGGCACUCUUUGAUAUCUGCACUAUUAGGACUACCUAAUUAGACUGGCUGACAAAUCAAGAUGAAUAGGAUGCCGGAUGAAUAGGAAACACCAUCAGCUGUGUGUUUUUAACACCUGGCCUGGUGGCAGAGCACUGCCCUCCGGCCUGGGCCAGCCCCUUGCCCGCUCUGUGCCCACACAGCUCCAGCUGACCGCCCACCUCACUCCAGGGACCCCACAGCUCCAGUCUCCACCCUGGCACCCCCUGUUCACACCUCAGCAAACUGUUAUGCAAGAUUCCAUGACAGAUGGUCCACUUUGUGGUUUGCUUGAAAUUUGGUUAAGAAAUCCUAUCAAGAAGCCCUUGCAGAAAGAGAAAACUGUAUACAAGCCUUCUUUAUGAACUUUGGGAUCUGCUACAGCAAAACCUUUAUCUAUUGUUACAGAAAGAGGGGAGGAAUUCCUCAGCAAUUUUGAAAAGUUUCACUUUAUUAGACAUUACAACAAGACAGUAUGCAAUGUUUUGAAGUUAAAAAAAAUCACUUAAGUCACUGAAAAUAUGUUCUUAAUAUCCAUGAGAACACCAAGAGGAAAGAAAUGAAGAUAUUAUGUUAUUACAUUAUGCUUUAAUAUUAAUAAUGCCCUGAUUGAGAAGGAAAAUAAUAAAAGACAUAUGCCAGCCAACUGAAGUGUGCGUGCUGGAGUGCAAAUGCAACAGACUUGGGCAGCUGUGGCAGGGAGGGAACAAAACAGAAGUGAAAAGCAGCCUCUGAAGCAACCACACAACCAGGAACUCCAACAGACUGUGGACAAAUGCCCUACAGAACUGAGAGCUGGAGAAGAUGACAGAUAUUUUGACUUUCUCGAGUUAUGAGGAACUAACUCUGUU